UGCCCUUUAGCCAAGCGGUAAGGCAGCGGUUUUUGGUACCGCCAUGCGUUAGUUCGAAUCUAACAAGGGCAGCCA
rnacentral:tRNA from 1 species